UGUACUAAAUGUGUUAAACUUAUGUUUUAGAACAAAUUGAUUUGUUUGUGAAGGAAAGACUACAUCAUUUCACGAUGCUGCCAUAAAUCGGCAUGAGAAGGCAGCUGUUAUACAGUUGGGCCAGGCCAUGAAUAAUAAUUUGUCAGACCUGAGGUUCCAGAAUAAGAGGGUAUGCACUUAAGAGCUGUGUGUUCGACUGUACAAAUAGAUUUAACAAGAACUAUCUUUUUACAGACUGCCAAAAGUUACAGAAAAGAGAAGCAAAUAGAUUGCUGCAAUUCGCAGAAACGGCUGGGGAUCCAGGCAGCGGAGUGAAUGGGUUAAAAUUAUGUUGAAUUUAGGGGUAAAAUCAUAUCCUGGGUCAUAUAUUGUAUUGGCAACUCAUCAAUUAAAUAUUUACCAUCUAAUAUUCUGGAUAACUGUAAAGUUCUUGCCAGUUUUUAUGAACCCCAUUCCUGGGCAUAUGUCAAUGUCCAUUGACCACAGUCUUUUUGGUAAGUAGCCUAUGUAUAAGUGUCGAGUCCAACUGCAACAAUUUUUGUUGCUUGUUUUGAUCCUGUUUUUGCAAUUUCCCUUAUUAAAGCCAGUAAUGCUUAAGGAUGUUUUGCCCCUCCGACUGAGGGGACGUGUCCCAGCAGGAAAGUAGCCUGAGAAAGUCUAUAUUUUAUUUAUUUAUUAUUUUAUUUUUUGGUAUACUUAUAAUAAUUUUGUUAUUGUGCAGAUAAUUUUAUGUAUGCUGUGUACUUUUACUUUUUGUUAACAUAAAUAAAAAUUCCACAUUA